UUAUAGUCGGAGCUUAUGAAUGCAGUGGUCAUAGAAGUUUGGUAAGAACACUGAGGAGAGUUUGUGAUGUUUCGUUCACCCUGACAGCUACACUGUUUAACCAGGAAGGGAUGCCACCUUUAGCUGGAGCCGAGUUGGUCCACACUCCAUUGCAGCUGUAUCGAUACCUGCUCAGGUGCUGCAGGCAGUUACCUUCCACAGCAAUGCAACAACACUAUCGACAUGCCAUAAGACAGGGUUACAACAGCCACUCAGAUGAAGACGACCCUGAGAGGACACAGAUGAUCAUCCAGAGAGCGAUUGCAGAUGCUGACUGGAUUCUUGAUAAAUAUACCAAGAAGAAAUGAGCGCGUGUCCACGGCGGUGCAUUUUGCAGGGCUGUCCUGGAGUCACACUGGUGAAGGUUCCUCAGGCUGCGUAUGUAAUGAUGUAGAAGCAGAACUGAAGGGGACGACAUACGACCGACAAGGCUUCUAGAUUAUCUUCCAUGCUGAAGAAGAAGGAGAACAUGGAAGAUGGCAGCAAGUACAGCUGCUAACAUAUCGCUGCCCGUACUUGUUAAUAGUAAAAGUCUGGUAUGGAAGUACUGAAACACACUUUACUACUUUGUUUGAGACAGCUAGCAUCAAAUCAGCUGUGUUCCUUACUAGAGCUGGGCAGUCAAAAAGGAAUCAAAACUGACACUGGGAAUCUCUAAUCCACCUGAUCUUUCCCGUGUCGGUUAUUUCAGUUUUUUUAAAUUCUGUGUUGUCACGUGACUCUGUGCCUUCUGCAGCAUCAUGGAGAAAAACAAACAAAUCAACACAUCGAGCUGAGCGCACAACUUCAAAUCUCACGUCUGUUGUUUGGACACGUUUGACUUUAGUAAAGACGACUUCAAACAAAAGGGAGAAAAACAUUUCAUCAUCCAACAACAAUACUACUAAUCUGUUGCAACGCUUGGAGGACAAUCAUGUCACCAAUUAAAAAUAUCCCACCUUUAACAGUUCGCAUAUUUACAGUACGACCUGACUGCACGGGGUUAUGGUGUGUUGUGUGUCGAAAUUUAAAGUGAAAAAUGAAUCUAGUUUGGAAAAAGGCUGGAACGUGACAAAACGUGGGACUAGUGAGUGCUACGGUCAGUGUACUGCACACAGUGGUGAUGGACACGUUUGAAAAAGCAGACCGUGUAAUAUAAUGUACUCCUAUUGAUGGUGUCAACAACAAAAUCAAUGUUAACCACCUGAAAGAAAAUCAUUCAAAGUGUACUUUAGCUGUCAGGCUGCCCUUUCAGACUUCCUGGGUUAGAUCCUAAAGGCCUGUUUCAGCAGAUUUGCAGGUCAAUGUGUAGUCGGUGGUUGGACGAAUAGAAAAGCUGCUCUCAUGUUGCAUCAGUGGAGGGUGUCCGAUCCAGGAUUGCAGGGGAAGCAAAGAUAUUUCUCUUUUCUUUUAGUAAAUGAGGAUUUUCAAGUGUUGCUAUUUAAGUACUGAAAGAAGAAAAAGAACUGACUCGAGAUCAGAUUUCAGCCAGUUUGUCACAACCAGGAAGGAGUUUAGGUGACUCCAUCCGUGGACCUACAGUAUAUAAAAGCACACGUGAACUGCCCUCUGCAGUUUUAGGCUUGUGACAUGCUUUCUUCCCUAUGUGAGGUAAAACAGUGCCAGAAUAUUUGCAUAUCACGUAAUCUUUAUUAACACAAUACUUAAUUGCACAUUGUUAAACUUUGCUCACGCAUCUCUUCUACAGCUUGGAGGAAAAGGUGAUACUUCUGUGCAACAUACAGUAUUCAAGUAUAACCAUUUUUCUCAAAUAAAUGCUGGAUAACAAGGAUACACAUACAAGAAAACAAUGAGAAUGUUUCGUAUGUACUGGCCUCACCAACCAAUGGAAUAAAACAAAAACAUCCUGA